CCUACGGGAGGCAGCAGUAGGGAAUCUUCGGCAAUGGGCGAAAGCCUGACCGAGCAACGCCGCGUGAGCGAUGAAGGCCUUCGGGUCGUAAAGCUCUGUUGUUAGAGAAGAACAAGUACGAGAGUAACUGCUCGUACCUUGACGGUACCUAACCAGAAAGCCACGGCUAACUACGUGCCAGCAGCCGCGGUAAUACGUAGGUGGCAAGCGUUAUCCGGAAUUAUUGGGCGUAAAGCGCGCGCAGGCGGUCUCUUAAGUCUGAUGUGAAAGCCCACGGCUCAACCGUGGAGGGUCAUUGGAAACUGGGAGACUUGAGUGCAGGAGAGAAAAGUGGAAUUCCACGUGUAGCGGUGAAAUGCGUAGAGAUGUGGAGGAACACCAGUGGCGAAGGCGGCUUUUUGGCCUGUAACUGACGCUGAGGCGCGAAAGCGUGGGGAGCAAACAGGAUUAGAUACCCUGGUAGUCCACGCCGUAAACGAUGAGUGCUAGGUGUUGGGGGGUUCCACCCUCAGUGCUGAAGUUAACACAUUAAGCACUCCGCCUGGGGAGUACGACCGCAAGGUUGAAACUCAAAGGAAUUGACGGGGGCCCGCACAAGCAGUGGAGCAUGUGGUUUAAUUCGAAGCAACGCGAAGAACCUUACCAGGUCUUGACAUCCUUUGACCACUCUAGAGAUAGAGCUUUCCCCUUCGGGGGACAAAGUGACAGGUGGUGCAUGGUUGUCGUCAGCUCGUGUCGUGAGAUGUUGGGUUAAGUCCCGCAACGAGCGCAACCCUUGACCUUAGUUGCCAGCAUUCAGUUGGGCACUCUAAGGUGACUGCCGGUGACAAACCGGAGGAAGGUGGGGAUGACGUCAAAUCAUCAUGCCCCUUAUGACCUGGGCUACACACGUGCUACAAUGGAUGAUACAAAGGGUUGCGAAGCCGCGAGGCCAAGCCAAUCCCAAAAAGUCAUUCUCAGUUCGGAUUGUAGGCUGCAACUCGCCUACAUGAAGCCGGAAUUGCUAGUAAUCGCGG
rnacentral:rRNA from 1 species